GUAGGUGGCAAGCGUUGUCCGGAAUUAUUGGGCGUAAAGCGCGCGCAGGCGGGUUCUUUAAGUCUGAUGUGAAAGCCCACGGGCUCAACCGUGGAGGGUCAUUGGAAACUGGAGAACUUGAGUACAGAAGAGGAAAGCGGAAUUCCACGUGUAGCGGUGAAAUGCGUAGAGAUGUGGAGGAACACCAGUGGCGAAGGCGGCUUUCUGGUCUGUAACUGACGCUGAGGCGCGAAAGCGGGGGGAGCAAACAGGAUUAGAUACCCUGGUAGUCCACGCCGUAAACGAUGAGUGCUAAGUGUUAGGGGGUUUCCGCCCCUUAGUGCUGCAGCUAACGCAUUAAGCACUCCGCCUGGGGAGUACGACCGCAAGGUUG
rnacentral:rRNA from 1 species